rnacentral:rRNA from 1 species
UGGGGAAUAUUGGACAAUGGGCGAAAGCCUGAUCCAGCAAUGCCGCGUGAGUGAUGAAGGCCUUAGGGUUGUAAAGCUCUUUUACUGGGGAUGAUAAUGACAGUAACCAGAGAAUCAGCUCCGGCUAACUCCGUGCCAGCAGCCGCGGUAACACGGAGGGAGCUAGCGUUGUUCGGAAUUACUGGGCGUAAAGCGCGCGUAGGCGGCUCAGCUAGUCAGGGGUGAAAGCCCGGGGCUCAACCCCGGAACUGCCUUUGAAACUGCUAGGCUAGAAUCCUGGAGAGGUGAGUGGAAUUCCUAGUGUAGAGGUGAAAUUCGUAGAUAUUCGGAAGAACACCAGUGGCGAAGGCGACUCGCUGGACAGGUAUUGACGCUGAGGUGCGAAAGCGUGGGGAGCAAACA